rnacentral:rRNA from 1 species
CCCUUAGAUGUCCGGGGCUGCACGCGCGCUACACUGUAGAAAGCAGCGUGCAUUAAAACCUUUCCUGAAAAGGAUGGGUAAUCCCAGCAAAAUUCUACGUGCUUGGGAUAGAGAUUUGCAAUUUUCUCUCUUGAACGAGGAAUUCCCAGUAAGUGCGAGUCAUCAGCUCGCGUUGAUUACGUCCCUGCCCUUUGUACACACCGCCCGUCGCUACUACCGAUUGGGAAAAUUUUAGAGAGUCCUGGACUGAUGAUUGUUCGGCUUCACGGCCUUACUUUCGUCGGGAAAGAAUUCGAUAAUAUUUUUCUAGAGGAAGUAAAAGUCGUAACA